UUCUUAAUUUAUUUAAUCACAUUCGGCUUCUUCAGCAAUCACAAUACAUUCAGCUUCGAAGUACUGAAAUAGAAUAAACAUCACACAAAAUAUUGAAUAUCACAUUUCAUACAAAAAUCUCAGUCUUUUUCUUUAUUUAUAAAACAUGUAUACAUAAUCUAAAUGUAUUUAAUACAGUAAAUUUCCUGGCAAAAUAUUCACUGAGAAGAAGGAAAACACGUGUUAAGAGACAUAUUAAUUCUGUCCAAUAUAUUAUUCAAAUGUUUAUUUUACCACAAAAACACACACAGGGGAGAGUUUCUGCUUCUAAAAUGGAGUGAAGGUCUAAAACUGCACAACCUGUAAUCCUGUAUUUCUCUCUCUCUCUCUCUCUCCCUCUCUCUCUGUCCCUCUCCCUCUCUCUCUGUCCAUCUCCCUCCUGUUUUCCAGUACCGUUUGUGACACGCCCUCAUUGACUUCCCCUCAGCAAGACACCACAUCGCUGACAUCACAUACAAGUGGCCCCUUGCAGCAGCAGUGAAGCAGGGUAUUGUUCUGAUACUUUUCACUUCAAAUGAUUUAUUUUCAAUAAAGAAUCAGGAAGAUGCAGGCAACCACGGGCGCACGCAGGCUGUCUGAGGAGCAGGGGCAAAAAAAAAAAGAAGAAAAAUUUCAAAAGGGCAGGAACAUCUAGAGGGCACUUCAUCUCAUUUUGUUGCAUGUAUAGGAGCCUAUAGGGCAUGUCAUCUAAUUUUGUCACAUUUAGGGGAGCCUAAAAAUUAGAGACGCCAGUUGUAGCUCAGUGGUUUAGAUGUUGGACGGUUGUGAAGGCCGUGAGUUCAAAUCUAAGCACUGCCACUGCUGGGCCUUUGAGCAAGGCCCGGUGUUAUAUAAAUGGGAUAAAUGUAAGUCGUUCUGCAUAAGAGCAUCUGCCAAAUGCUGGAAAUGAAACAUAAUUAUAUGGGGCACUUCAUGUUAUUUUGUCACAUGUAGGGGAGCCUAUAGGGCACUGUGAGUCAUUUUCUCCAUAGGGAGUUCACCAUAGAAGGCAUUGCAUUGUAUUUUCUUGCGGAUAGGGGCACCUUAUCACAGGGGCAUUUUAUUGUUUUAUCCAGCAUAGGGUACCGUUUUAUCUGCCAUAGUUGCACCCUAGUGGGCAUUUUCACUGUCUUUUUUUGACCACAGCUAUCACCAGAAACUAUUACUUGACGUGUGAUAUAGACUGAGUAGUUGGCUAUAUAAAAACCAAUUUCAGCAGCAAAUCAAAUAAAUUGUUAUUUUACUGCUAUCCUAUUGAUAUCCAAUUUUAAAUGGAGUUUUGUGGGGAAGACGUGUUGACUCGUGUCGAUUCGAUCUCUCCGGAAUUCAAGAGCUCGUUUAACAACUCUCAGAGAAAUAAUGAGGGGAAGUGAUGAAGGCCAGUACUGGAACACAGCCAUACCACUCUUUUGUCACUCUUUCUCUUCUCAUA
ensembl:lncRNA